AACUAGUAUUUUAUAAUUCUCUCUUACUAAGUUCCUUAUUCUAUUCUUUCUCAAUUUCUGACUCAUGACCCACGGCCCCCCACUUGUUCAUGAAAAUAUCUUCCCCAGCAUAUCACCUUACACUCUCGUUUCUUUUCUUUCUCCCAACGCCAGACCCAUUUUCUUCUUCUCUUUCACGUUUUCUUUCUUUCUUCAGCAGACCCAUUUCUGCUCCUUCUUCCUUUCUUCUCCAUGGACAACCAGCCAUGAGCCACCACCACCACACACAAAAGCUCCAACCAUGGCCACUCCAAACAGCCAUGGACACGCGAGCACCACAGCCACCGCUGGCCACCAUCACCAUAGGGUACGAAGGACGGAAGCGCUUGACGACGAAGCCAAAGAACAAACGGAAGUGAGCCAACACGAGAAAGCAAAGAUAUGACUGGAUUUGAUUUGAGUCGCAACUUAGUAAGGAAAGCGCGAAGGUUAGGGCAACUUACAUAUUAGCUAUGAUUGCAUGAUAGGCGUCGAUCAAUUCGACUUAUGCUUUAUCCGAUAUUGAUUAUGAUGAUGAGUUGUUGUUAUGAUGUUUUUCCAUAACUUGUGAUAUUGUGAUAUUGUUGGAUUUGUGCGUUUUGACGCGACUUCGGAGUGGAGAUUCAUUGAUCUGGUGAUCUUUGAUAUUUCGGGUUGGAUGAACAACCCUAAGUAAGUUCAAAUGUGGGGUUUGAGAUUUAGCCAUUUGUUGGGAUUCUUUUAAAUACUUAGACUUUCCCCGGGAAACUUCUUUUGGCGGGUUUUUGGAAACUUAGAAUGAUUAGACUUUCGAAAAUUAGAGACUUUGGGAGACUUAGACUUUGAGAAAUAAACUCAUAACCUGACUAAUCCAAUUCGAAACGUUUUUACUAAACGAAUAAUUAUAGGGAACCUAAAGGAGAAAAUGAUUGUGAAAGACGGGGAAAAGUCGACUUUUAUUGUGGGUUUUGGACUUGGGGAAAGCCACUAAGGUGAGCUAUGGUGAUGAUUGAAAGUCACCGAGUACUGUAGUACUCUUAUUGUUGGGGUUGUGUUGUAUUGACCGACACUAACUCUAGGUUUUGGGUGUUGGAGUUGUGUUGUAUUGACCGACACUAACUCCGAGUCGUGUUGUAUUGACCGACACUGACUCUGGCUUUGAUUUUGGGUUUUGUUGUUGGAGCCGUGUUGUAUUGACCGACACUUAGUGCUCUUGUUGUUUGGGCUGUGUUGUAUUGACCGACACUAGACCCUUGUGUAUUCUUGUUGGUGGAGUUGUGUUGUAUUGACCGACACUUACUCCGAGUUGUGUUGUAUUGACCGACACUAACUCUUGGGUUUGUUGUGAGUUUGGGUUUGAGCUAGACACUUAUGUGGUGAGGACGAUUCGAUGUUUGGCUAACCAUAUUGCAUCAAUCGGGUGAAUAACGGGAAUGGUUCACCUGUGCAUUUCAUGGUGGAUAACGGGAAUGGUUCACCUUGCAUUAAUGAUGAAUAACGGGAAUGGUUCAUCAUAUGGUGAAUAACGGGAAUGGUUCACCAAGGAUGAAUAACGGGAAUGGUUCAUCCAGGAUGAAUAACGGGAAUGGUUCAUCCAUAGUGAAGAACGGGAAUGGUUCAUCCAUAGUGAAGAACGGGAAUGCUUCACUUGUGGCGAACGGGAAUGCGUCACAAUCCGGAUCAUAAUUGCAUUUCACGCAUACAUUCAUUCUGACUGGGAUUGUGUGCUGUUUGAUUUAUUGAAGCUUCGUUAGAGCCAAUAACAUGCUAGGAUUAUCUAUAUGUUUAUAUAACAACAUAUAUAUCUAUACCCCAUAUCACAUGUUGAGUGUAUAUCUACUUAUUUCCGUGAGUUGACCCUAGCGCCUUGGCUUUGGUUUCAUGUUUGUGUUUGGGCGGUCGACCUGCUGCCAGAUGUCGACGGUGGAUUGGGUUUCGACGGUCUCUCCCUCGGGGGGAUCAGGUUUGAGUUGGUGGAUCGACAUGCCCCACCGCUUGGGUGAUCGAUGUUGUGGGUCAUCGAGCGACGUACCGGGGAAGGGUCAUGGAGGACCGGACUGACGAGCGUGAACAUCUGACGAAAGGAGUUCUACGACGCAUGGAGCUGAGCUUCAACUUGCCAACUUUAGUUCGCAGUGGACUUGGUACUUGGAGGGUAGGUUUAGGCAGGAGUCAUAUUCUGUGUAGAGCUCUGAUUCGUUUUGCUUUUGGGACAGGGUAGGUUCCCGACGCAUGGCUUUUCGUGUGGUUCUCUUAUUGAGGGAUCACAGUGAGUUAGUCGGACUGUAGGGGUUCUGCUUAGGCCAUUUUGAGGCCGACUUUCUACUAGUGGAUUGUAGUUACAACUUUCUUACUCAAACUUCUGGGUCUGUAUUUAUUUGCCUAGGGCACACUACUUUGGAGUCACUGCGAGUGCGCGUGACAUGGGAGUGCAGCUGAGGCUGUACAUGUUUAUAUUUGAUGUAUAUUGGUUAGUUUAGUGGUUGGGUUAUGUCUUUACUUUCUAUUGCUUUAUUUAAAAGGAAUCAAACGAAAAAAAUUACGUGUUUUCCGCGUAGAGUUUAUUUUUGGUUACUAAGGUGACACCCGGAAAUCGGGGUGUUACACAAAUCUACCUAACAUUUCAAAUGAGAAUCUCCUGAAGAUCACGACUACUAUUUCAAAAGAAAUCUUUUUGGAUUGCAUAGGCGUCCAUUCUUGUGAGCUCAAACUAUAAUAAUUCCCUCGGCUCAGGUUUUCACUAUGCCACACUCUUUCAAUGUCCAAGCCAAAGGCUUUAUCCCCUAAAGUACCACUAUAUCCCAUAGUGGUAUGAUCUUUCUAUCAAGAGAAGAUCGGGAAUUGCCGCUAGGCUUUUCUUUUAGCUCUCACUCAUCCCGGGCUAUUCUUAUUAUUCUUGGCCACUAAGGAGUAGUAGUGGCUUUUGACCAAGAGAACGAGCUAGACAGAAAAGGUACCACCGAAAGAAGGUCGACCUCACCCCCUUUGGUAAACCGAAGCAGAGAAAGAGGAAGAAGCAAAGCUAGGCCAUUCGAUUAGGGAUGUUCUCACCUGUGCGUACUAUCUUUAAGAAGGAAUAUACAAAAUAACCUUCUUCUUUUUCGCAUCUCCCAAGUUCGAAUGCUUUUAUGCUGUUAAAAGAAAUCGAAUACCAUUCGUGACCCAAUUCAAAAACGGAGUGACUGAAGACCUCCUCCCCCUUUCCCGCAAGAGAGGACUCGUUCUGGCUUUAAAGAGCCUCUUUUUUAGCAGUCUCGCCCAUAAGAUAAGAGAAGAUUGACCAUCUCUUCUUCCAAGCUUCUUCUUGGCGUAACGAAAGAACUAGAUGAGGAGAGGCCUCUGGUUUAAAAUCCCUACCUUACGAGGGCGCCCUAGGCGGAUUCACUUCCGACGGGUCAAUCAAGCCUUUGAAACUAGUUCAAAUAGUCGUCACAGUCUUCGUUCCUGCUUUCAACGUGACUUUCUUAGCUGCAUCAGCUUGUAAAAGUCUCUCUCCUUCACCAGGAAAAGGGAGAGCGGACAAAGUACCAGACGAUGUUGGGUUGGGUAAGAAGAGCUGACGAGAAGAGUAAGCAGACGAUGUCGAUAGAAGACGAUUCGUGGGAUCUUCCUCAAAGUCAAAGAUAGAUAAAAAUGAACUAAACUAAACAAAGCCAGCCCAUGAAAUUAGAUGUCGAAUGAGUACGAUUUCGAGCAUAAAGAGAGAAGGAAAAGGAACUAUUUAGCAAGAAUCUAGGUUUAGCAAGAUAGCUGCCAGAAAGACUGAGCUUAGGUGCAUAGCGCUUAAAUAAGUGGUUGAAGAGUAGCUUUCCAUCCCGACAAUGACUACUGACUUUCCAUUUUUGGGAUUUCACUUAAAAGACUGGACUUCAAGCAGCAAUGAGAACAAAGGCAAGGAAUUGAUGCGCCAAUAAUCGAAGAAUGGGGCAAGGCAAAUUUCCAGACAAUGGUAAGUGUUUGAGAAGGAGCUGUGAAAGAAGGGGCUGCUAGAGAAUAGGGAUCUCUUGAAGAAGAAGGGAUUGCGGGGUGAACGACAUUCUGUUGUACUAUUCACACUAGCUGUACUAGAGUAGUUUAGUAGCGCCUUUUGAAUCAAAUAGGCGAACCUUUUCCGAAUCCGAAAGGAAACAGCCCGCAUUGCAAGCAAAUAGAUAGCCCCCGCCCGUUUGAGUCGUUGCGAGCCGGAAAGCGUACCGGCAGUUUGAGUCACGAAAGGGCCGCUUGCUUAAUCUUGAUUUUCUUAUAUUUAUAUAUAGAAGAAAAUCAUUUUUUUAUCCAAUUGUUCAUUCCUAGGAAGAGGAAGAAGCAGAUAGAGCAAAGGCCUCCUCUUUCCGUCCACUCUUCCCGAAGUGAGCGAAUUGCAUGUAGAGAUCCGUAGGGGCUUAUAGUUUAAUUGGUUGAAACGUACCGCUCAUAACGGUAAUAUUGUAGGUUCGAUCCCUACUAAGCCUACCACCCCCUUAUCUUCACCCUAUACAAGAAGGCAGUCGAAGUCCCCUCCACUCUUCAUUUUUUUUUGGGGGAAGACAUCGCGUUCCUAGUCGAUUUCCCUCAUUGCACUGUCCCCUUAAUGCUACGAAGUGAAGCAGGCAUAGAGACCAACCAUAGGGUAUCUAUCCUGUGAUCUUUCAUCAACCCCGGCUCGGUAUCGGUAGUCUCAGUCUUUCCCUGCCUGCCCUGGUAUGAGUAGAGAGUAUAAGAGGGAGUCUUAUUCUACUCUAGGCUCACUCCACCCCUGUGUUGUCUUAUUUCAGGAGGGACUGGAUUGUUAAAAAAUCCCGGACUCUGUCUUUGGGCUAAAGUCUAUAGUUCUCUCCUCACUAACGGAAGUCUCUUAGUAAGUAGCAUCAGCUCUUCCGGGGGAAAGCCUGACGUAAGGAGUAUUCGCGGGCUAUCCACAAGCAUUCUCCCCCUGACCUGCCUCCCAACCUCAAGAUCAUCAGCGGACGACGCCUUCUUCCGAAAGUCCUCCCAAGGCUUUGCCCCAGCGAAAGAGACUGAAAAAGAUCCUUAUCCGAUUCCUCGGGUCUUGCUGCGUCAGCUACCGUAGAUAGGAGGCUUUAGCCUAUAAAGAAAGCAGCUUAGUAGUAGGAAGGAAGCAAAGAAAAGUAUGCCCUACAUGUCAACAGGGUGGAAGUUCAAAGCAUCGAAGAUGAGUACAUGGAAGCACCAAUGAAGAAAGUCCAGAGUGCAGAUAUAACCUUCUCGACAUAAGACAUCUUGCUGGACAGGAAGAAGCAUACAUAAGCGGCCUCUUUAUCUCACCGGUGACAUCGGCGAAAGAAAGAAGGCUACCGCGGGUAGAGAUCGACCUUAGGGCCUCCAUCAACGUGAUGCCACUGCGGGCCCUAGCCGAUCUUGGAAUUAAAUCCUACGAGCCGGCUAAGUCAGACCAAGGUGACUAUUCCGGGGUACAAUGCCGACUCGCAAAGAGCCAUCGGCAAGAUUAGUCUCUUGUGUGUGCCAAACAUGGGAUCUGAAGACUGAGGUCACUUCUUAUGUGAUUGACGGUGACAUCUCCUAAACUUCCUGCUUGGAUCCACAGCGUGGUACGUUCCACCCUUCAUCAAUGCUUCAAAUACGUUGAUGAGAAGGGAGAAACUGGGUAUUUGCCGACAAUAAGCCCUUUUUUAAAGGAGUCUAGGCAUAUUGUCUGUACGGAUGCGCGUCUUUACAACGACGGCCCAGCCUAGACAGUGAUGGAUGACGAAAGCCCGCCAACGAAAGCCGAAGCACAGGUUCGUAGACCUCUCCGAAUCCCUCGAAAGCUAAGG